GGAAGACUGGUAGGGUGGUUAGAGGAGGCGGGAAUGGGUUUUCUGGAGGCAUUUCUUGAGUAAAGGUGUGAUCUUUGAAAAGCUAGACGUGCAUAUUUGCAGAGGAUUUCUUAUUGGGGUGAAAAGAAUGGACCUGUGGAAGAAAACGGAACAAACAAGAAUAGUAACUGGUUUAAGUAUGGAGUCUAAUGUGAGUACUGUGUGACUGUGUGUAUCUCUUGAAGAAGAAAGGGGUGAUCUUGGAAGAGUUUAGAGAUGCAAAUUUGCAGACAAAUUUUUUAUAUUGAUUAAAGAAAUGGACUAAUGUGGCAGAAUAAGGAACAAUCAAACACUAUUUUGUGACUGUUGUGAUGUUGAUAGAGUUAAAGAUGCAAAUUUGCAGAGAGAUUUGUCAAUAAAGAAGGAAGAAACAAGAAUGGCAGCCGGUGAGAGUGUGUAAGUCUAAAGGGAACACUGUGUGACUGUGUGCGCUUCUUGAGAAAGAAAGGGGUGAUCUUGGAAGAGUGUUAAAGAUACAUAUUUGCACAGGUUUGUGAUGCACUGUGUGACUGUGUGUAUUUCUUGAGAUCCAUAUUUGCAGAGGAGAUUUGUUAAAUGGAUGAAAUUAAGAAAAAGGACAUACAGCGUGGAGGAAGAAGGAAGAAACAAGAAAUAUGGAGAGUCUAGUGGGGUUGUGGAGUGUAAUGUGAAUAGUGUGUGACCGUGUGCAUUUCUGGACAAAAGAAAGAGGGUGAUGCUUGCUGUUGCAGAGAGAUUUGUUUUAAGGAUGAGAAAGAGAAAAGGACCAGUGGGAGAAGAAGGAACAAACAAGAGAGAGAGAGAGAGAGGUGGGCAAGUGUGGAGUGUAGUGUGAAUACUGUGUGACUGUGUGUAGUCUUUAUCUUCUCAUCUCUCUGUUACUAAUGCUAUGCUACCG
rnacentral:lncRNA from 1 species